rnacentral:lncRNA from 1 species
ACGGGCAAGGGCAAGGGCAAGGGUGAGGGUGAGGGCGAAGGCGAGGCGGCAAAGGAGGGCGAGAGAGUGUUUGUCGGCAUGGACGAAGAUGUGGGCGAGGGCGAGGCAGCAGAGGUGGACGAGGCAACAUGAGAGAAGACGGUGGGGUAUUUUUGGCAUAAAAAAUAUAUAAUAAUAUUUUAUAAACGUAACCCCAAUGGAUCACUAGCAGCAGGGAGUGAAAUGAACAUUUUUUAUUUUAUAAGGUGGCAAAGUGUAAGUUUCUAAAUGACAGGAAGGAAAGUGAGAAAUCGUGUUUUGACAGGAAAUUUUUCUAUAAUUUAGUCUUUUAUAUU